AUUGAACGCUGGCGGCAGGCCUAACACAUGCAAGUCGAGCGGAUGAAGGGAGCUUGCUCCUGGAUUCAGCGGCGGACGGGUGAGUAAUGCCUAGGAAUCUGCCUGGUAGUGGGGGAUGACGUCCGGAAACGGGCGCUAAUACCGCAUACGUCCUGAGGGAGAAAGUGGGGGAUCUUCGGAUCUCACGCUUUCAGAUGAGCCUAGGUCGGAUUAGCUAGUUGGUGGGGUAAAGGCCUACCAAGGCGACGAUCCGUAACUGGUCUGAGAGGAUGAUCAGUCACACUGGAACUGAGAAACGGUCCAGACUCCGACGGGAGGCAGCAGUGGGGAAUAUUGGACAAUGGGCGAAAGCCUGAUCCAGCAAUGCCGCGUGUGUGAAGAAGGUCUUCGGAUUGGAAAGCACUUUAAGUUGGGAGGAAGGGCAGUAAGUUAAUACCUUGCUGUUUUGACGUUACCAACAGAAUAAGCACCGGCUAACUUCGUG
rnacentral:rRNA from 1 species